rnacentral:misc_RNA from 1 species
GAAAUGCGAUAAGUAAUGUGAAUUGCAGAAUUCUGUGAAUCAUCGAAUCUUUGAACGCACCUUGCGCUCCUUGGUAUUCCUUGGAGCAUGCCUGUUUGAGUAUCAUGGAAUCUUCAAAGUAAAUCUUUUGUUAACUCAAUUGGUUUCUACUUUGGUAUUGGAGGUCUUUGCAGCUUCACACCUGCUCCUCUUUGUUCAUUAGCUGGAUCUCAGUGUUAUGCUUGGUUCCACUCGGCGUGAUAAGUUAUCUAUCGCUGAGGACACUGUAAAAGGUGGCCAAGGUAAAUGCAGAUGAACCGCUUCUAAUAGUCCAUUGACUUGGACAAUACUUUUAUGAUCUGAUCUCAAAUCAGGUAGGACUACCCGCUGAACUUAAGC